CAGUUCUUGCUGCUGCCAAGUGGAGGAUUGUGGUGGAUCCAUUCCAACGUGGAAAUCAUUUUCUAGAAUUGAACGACCUUCCAGAAAUUUCCGAAAUAAUCGAGAAUACGCAGUGUCGACGAGAUUCAAGCUUCCGUAUCUCCGAAGAGCAAUGUCUCAUUCAGGUGGCUACAGUUUGCGAGUCCAUGGGUUGUGUCGCGGAUGCAACUUUGUGUUGUUGGGGUUCCUAUUGGUUCUGGGAAAUCUCAGCUCUAAACUCCCGUAAAUCUCAGUUGUGGUGGGUUAAAAUGAUAUUUGAUUCGUAAACAAUAACAACAACAGAGACUAGUAAUUUCUGAAUGUCUUCUUGAACCCUCCCUUGCUAGGACUGCUCGUUGUUAUCGAUUAAACUUAGCUUUCACAACAGUUCCCAUAUUACGUUGGAACCGCUCUUAUUUUUAGAUUGUUGCGUUCGAGACAAUUUCUGGAACACUUGGUGCGCAGAUGGGUAGGAGAGUAGUGCAACAUAUCACAAAACUACGGUGUGCCGAUUCUGGGAUGAGCGUCAGACAGUAAUUCUCGACUGGAUCAUCCGUGAUAUCUUUGUUGCAUCUGUAGUCAGAUUUUACAGGAAAACGAACAAGGUUGGUUUCGUUUCCAGGCCUCAGUCCGCUCGGUGCUUUCUACUGAGUUUGUUAAAACAUGCCUCGUGUUAAACUGCAGAAGUUGGUAAGAUCCGUCCACAUGAAUGGUUUCUUUUUAGUGCAGCGUCCUCGCUUAUGUAGAAAUUUCUCGGGUUCCGAAACAGGUUCUUAGUAUUGUGGAUACGGUCUGGUACUGUCUGAAGGCGUGAAUGUAAGGAGGAAAAGCUAGACUUAACUUUCAAAGAGGAGACUCCAGUUGUUUGGCAGAUCGAAGUGAGGGGGAAUUCAGAGAGUAUGCCUUCCUCAUCACACACGGAAGAUUCAAAAAGGUUAACGGUAACGAAAAGUACAAUAUAAGAGUCAUGUGAGAACAACAUUAUGGCGGCAGACUAGAACCACACAGCUAAGCCUACAGUUAGAAGAGGAAACAACAUUCCAACCAGAACAUCCUGAAGCUCAAUUUUCAUUUACUGAAAUGGUAUGUUGGUACCCUUUCUCCCAUCGGAAAUAUUCAAUCUCUGGAGUGGUAGUUUUUUAUUAUUUUAUUUAUUUAUUUAUUUGGAGGAUGAAACAUCUUUAAUCGAGGAUAUCAGAAACCACCAGAGUACAGGUAACCUGCAAAUCAUACUUAAACGGCAGUCCUGGAUGAGAGUGACCUUAAAUGAGGAGGAUUGAGGGAGGAGGGAGUUAGUGUCCCGCAUUUCUAUGGUGCCCGCCAGACGUGGGUGACAACACGUGAGGGUGAAACAGCAUUUUCUUUGUAGUUAACCUACUCCAGAGCAUUUAAGCAUUGUAUUGGUUAGAGCAGAAGCCAAGAAUAAAAGCUGGAGGGCCGGAAAUUUUCAGCUUCACAGCCAGCUGUACCCUCGUCGAUCGUACCCGGCAGAGCGUUUCUGACAUAGCAGUAAUCUGCGAAUAAGCGAAUCUCUUACUGUUUUUCUUAUUCUUAUGAUUUUUAUUUUGAUUCCAGAGGCACUUACUUCUGUUGCUUCAGAUUUGUAAACCGUAAUUCUAUGGAGAAUACCCAAGAGCUAAUGAUAUCGAGGCAACCAGUGCAGAAGAUCUGAUUGAAAUUGCUUCAAAUGUAUUAUUGUCUAAUCAGGUCAUUGGCAUCAAGAAAAACGCUCUUUUAUGAAGUUAUUUUCAUAACGUUUUGGCAGGAAAUGAACCCCCAAAUUCGCAUCGAGUGCACAAGAACGGAUUAUGAAGCUUCCGCAGUCCUGGCAGUCUUGAGCAACGGCCUGGGUCAUGGAAGGCGAUGCCACAAGAAAACUUGAAUCGCCCAUUUCGAUUAAUCCACAUUGGGGUGAAAGCCCACCAAGUGCAUGAGCUGGGUGAGUACCACAGCCAGGUACAAAUCCCUCCAUCCAGAUCCUUCAACGAAGCCGGCGCCGCCCUGCGAAUCUGCCAAUCGCAUGCCAGCAGGCGAUCGAUGUGCGAGGAAGAGGAGGAGGAGGAGAGCCUGGCUGUCGCCAUGCAUCCAAAUGCUUCCUCAUCCAUCGAAACCAACGCCGCCCCCAACGAAACAGCGCGUCCAUCAUCCACAAGUCCAGGGCGGACCUCGCAGCACCUGUGACGAUUCCGAGCACUGCAAACCUGCAAAAAAAAAAAAAAAAAAAAAAAAACCCAGUUCCCAAAGGCGGAGUUGUGCCCCAUGGCUGCAUGAACGACCUCACGAGAUCUGCAGCCCUUCCUUGAUCCGUAUGUAUGAGAUGGUGGACACGGGGACCUGGAACGCGAAGGUGGUGGACUGGCACAGUGGGUGCGUGGCAAAGGCACAUUCACUGCACCAGCUGCAUUCAUCCUGCAUCUCCCAACAGUCAAUCAGUCAGUAACUCACUCACUCGGCCUCCAUAAAGUGCCCCACUAAUCCCAUCUAAUUCAGCCCCCACUUCCACAGUUAUGCACUUCAUCACUAAUUGAGCUCAUCAACGCCCCACCCCUAUUCUGCUGCUGCGUCUGCAACUGCAGUUGCUGGAUAUGCGACGAACACCACGACGCUAUUUGGAGCUCAUUUCUAACUUGGCUAUUUCCCAGGCAGUGCUUAGUCACACUAGUCCAUGAAACUACCUCUCUUGCAUUAUAUAUUUUACUUACAGAUCUAUAUUUACUGAUGUCGAACUUCACUAACAUGCUGCAUGUCAGCCAGAGAGUUUGAAGAAUCAGGGCUUUUUGCGAGACGUAUUAAAUGCUUGUUGAAUGUGCAAGAAAAGCACGUGUGUGUGCAUACAUGAUCGAAUGAAUGUUGCGCCAAUUGCUUUGAGGAUUUUCACUUUUUA